rnacentral:rRNA from 1 species
CCCUUAGAUGUUCUGGGCUGCACGCGCGCUACACUGAUGCGUUCAACGAGUUUAUAACCUUGUCCGACAGGAUUGGGUAAUCUUUUGAAAACGCAUCGUGAUGGGGAUAGAUUAUUGUAAUUAUUAAUCUUCAACGAGGAAUUCCUAGUAAGUGCGAAUCAUCAGUUCGCACUGAUUACGUCCCUGCCCUUUGUACACACCGCCCGUCGCUCCUACCGAUUGGCUGAUCCGGUGAAUAAUUCGGACCGGCGCCUCAAAUGGUUCGCCGUUUUUGGUGCUGGAAAGUCUAGUAAACCUUNUNAGCUAUNGGAAGGAGAANUCGUANCA